UUCCAAUUCCUCUUCAA
rnacentral:sRNA from 1 species